GACGAACGCUGGCGGCACGCCUAACACAUGCAAGUCGAACGAGGUUCUUUUAGAAAGCUUGCUUUCUGGCUGAACCGAGUGGCGGACGGGUGAGUAACACGUGAGCAACCUGCCUUUCAGUGGGGGAUAACGUUUGGAAACAGACGCUAAUACCGCAUAAUAUACCGAGACGGCAUCGUCAUGGUAUCAAAGGAUUUAUUCGCUGAAAGAUGGGCUCGCGUCCGAUUAGAUAGUUGGUGAGGUAAUGGCUCACCAAGUCAGCGAUCGGUAGCCGGACUGAGAGGUUGAUCGGCCACAUUGGGACUGAGACACGGCCCAGACUCCUACGGGAGGCAGCAGUGGGGGAUAUUGGCACAAUGGGGGAAACCCUGAUGCAGCGAUGCCGCGUGAGUGAAGACGGUCUUCGGAUUGUAAAGCUCUGUCAACGGGGACGAUAAUGACGGUACCCGUGGAGGAAGCCACGGCUAACUACGUGCCAGCAGCCGCGGUAAC
rnacentral:rRNA from 1 species